AGUGAACGCUGGCGGUAGGCCUAACACAUGCAAGUCGAACGGCAGCACAGUAAGAGCUUGCUCUUACGGGUGGCGAGUGGCGGACGGGUGAGGAAUACAUCGGAAUCUACUUUUUCGUGGGGGAUAACGUAGGGAAACUUACGCUAAUACCUCAUACGACCUACGGGUGAAAGCAGGGGAGCUUCGGACCUUGCGCGAUUGAAUGAGCCGAUGUCGGAUUAGCUAGUUGGCGGGGUAAAGGCCCACCAAGGCGACGAUCCGUAGCUGGUCUGGCAGGAUGAUCAGCCACACUGGAACUGAGACACGGUCCAGACUCCUACGGGAGGCAGCAGUGGGGAAUAUUGGACAAUGGGCGCAAGCCUGAUCCAGCCAUACCGCGUGGGUGAAGAAGGCCUUCGGGUUGUAAAGCCCUUUUGUUGGGAAAGAAAAGCAGCAGGUUAAUACCCCGCUGUUCUGACGGUACCCAAAGAAUAAGCACCGGCUAACUUCGUG
rnacentral:rRNA from 1 species